GCCGAGAUGGCGGAAUGGCAGACGCGCAUGGUUCAGGAUCAUGUCCUUGAAAAGGGGUGGGGGUUCAAGUCCCCCUCUCGGCA
rnacentral:tRNA from 1 species